rnacentral:rRNA from 1 species
CAGCAGCCGCGGUAAUACGGAGGGUGCAAGCGUUAAUCGGAAUUACUGGGCGUAAAGCGUGCGUAGGCGGUUCGUUAAGUCUGUUGUGAAAGCCCCGGGCUCAACCUGGGAAUGGCAAUGGAUACUGGCGAGCUAGAGUGUGUCAGAGGAUGGUGGAAUUCCCGGUGUAGCGGUGAAAUGCGUAGAGAUCGGGAGGAACAUCAGCGGCGAAGGCGGCCAUCUGGAACAACACUGACGCUGAGGCACGAAAGCGUGGGGAGCAAACAGGAUUAGAUACCCCAGUAGUCCCUGUCUCUUAUAC